CAACAGUUCAGAAGAAGAAUCUAUUACACAUUCUGCAAGAGUUAAAAAUAGAACGAUGUCGACAAGGCAGAGAAAGCGUGAACGAUACACCAUGGGAUUAGAGUGUAUACAAAAGUAAACAUAACAAAAUGUAAAUUAAUUUCCAUCAACAUUUGGCAUAAUAAGUUUUGCACUUUUCAUUUUAUACAGGUUGUUUUUAGAUAAAUGCAAAACUAAUUAUGGUACACGCAUAUAAGAAACAAAAUGCAUAUUCACAGAACGUUCGCAUGUGCCGCUGUGUAGAUAAGCCAAAACUAUCUCGAUUUAAAGUACAAAGUGCUUGACGAGGAACUUAACUGAAUAUUAUGCAAUUUGUUGACGAUAACAUUUGUUUAAGUACGUGUGUAUGAUGUAUGCAUAAAGAGGAUGGAUAUAUCGAGAAGGAGUGUGACUAAUGUUGGGAUGCUACUUUUUUUCCCUAUUUAUAAAAGGGGUCUUAAAGCUGUACAUAUGACCUGUAAUUUCUUCCUCCAAAUCCUAUAUAUUGAAAUAUAUCAAUGUAACUGAAUUGGAUUGAUUUUUAUUUACUAAAUAAAGUGCAUGAAAACAAUUGAGUUGAAAGGAAAAUAUGGAAAGAUUAUGAAAGAAAUAAUUGUUCGAACACCAUAUUUUCGAUGGUUGAUUUUCUAAACCCGUACACAUACACGAAAAACGUGGGGUCAAUUUGAGGUGGUGGAAGUUAGCUGACGGAUUAAAAACAUUCUUAUUUGAAUGCAUGCAAUAUCAAGUACAUCUCGUUCUUACUAACGUAAUCUUGCUUCUUGAUGUUUGACUAUUGACGCUGACUAGGGGAAGUAUAUAUUAAAGACAUCCUCCAAUCACGAUUUUUAAAUAGCAUUAUAACAUCUGUACAACAUCACAUCAAAAUCAUUUCAAAAUACACAAUUACAAGCAUGGUUAGAUAUGAAAUGUUCCCCAAUUUACCAGCAUUUCUCAAACUUUAACUAUACUAGUCGCUGUGGCUCAGUCUUUAGAGGGUUCGUUGUGGCUCAGUGUUCAGAGGAUUUGUUGUGGCUCAGUGGUUAAACGGUUCGUUGUUGCUCAGUAUUUAAAGAGUUCGUUGUGGCUCAGUGUUCAGAGGAUUUUUUGUGGCUCAGUGGUUAAAUGGUUUGUUGUUGCUCAGUAUUUAAAGAGUUCGUUGUGGCUCAGUGUUCAGAGGAUUUUUUGUGGCUCAGUGGUUAAAUGGUUCGUUGAUGCUCAGUCGUUAAAGGGUUUGUUGUGGCACAGUUUUCAGAGGGUUCGUUGUGGCUUAGUAGUUAAACAGUUUGUUGUGACUCAGUGUUUAGAGGGAUCGUUGUGGCUCAGUGAUUAGUGGUUCGUUGUUGCUCAGUAGUUAAAUCGUUCGUUGUGACUCAGUGUAUAGAGGAUUCGUUGUGGCUCAGUAGCUAAAGGGUUUGCUGUGACUUGGUGUUUAGAGGGAUCGUUGUGACUCAGUGGUUAGUGGUUCGUUCUGGCUCAGUGGUUAGUGGAUUCGUUGUAACUCAGUGGUAAGAGGGUUUGUUCUCGUUCAGUGGUUUGAGGGUUUGUUGUGGCUCAUUGGUUAGAUGGUUUGUUGUGGCUAAGUGGUAGGGAGGGAUCUUUAUCGUGCCACACCUGUUGUGAUACAGAGCCUCGGUUUUUGCGGUGUACGGGCUGAGGGUUUUUAAAGGCGAGGGAAUUCUUUGAUUUUCACUGUUGAAAUCCAUUCAUCAAUACAAUUACACAUAAAGAUUAAUAUUUUUCUUUCUACCAUUUAUUUCCCCCCAGAUUAUUUUCAGAAUGCAUGCAUUUUUUAAAAAGAUGGCUUUUGAUGACACCCCCCUCCCCCAAAAAAAUAAUCCUGACUUUUUACAUUGUCAUUAUAAUACUGUAGCGCAUUUAUAUAGUGUCGUAUCUUAAUCUCAUGCUGAGCUAGUUUACCCGAAUUCACCAGUGUCAUGAACAUGCGUACAAAUUAUCAACUUAUUCUCUGAAUGCAGUUUUGUAAGACUUUUUAAUGGGGAAAAUCUUACAAUAAUAGGUAAUUGUGUCAUAAUAGGCCUACAUGUGUGAUUUUAUCAUUAAGAGAAGUUAGUAAAACCUCACAUCACCGACUGACAGAGUACUGACUGAGUACUGUUGCAGACGCAGAUAUCCGUCACGUCAUCACUAAUUGCUUUUUUUCUUCACUAUUUUCAUUUUUUGAAAAUCCUAGCUUGCAAUCCCGCUGCAUGCAUUAUCUGACAUGUACAUUACACAGGGCCGUGUUACAAACGGAUGCGCGGAUCCAACAAUAUAUCUUAGUGAGAAAUCGAUUUAAUACUUGUACCGCAUGCAUUUAUAAGCAUGCCCGAACCGCCGCGAUGAUGUAGAGGUACAGCAUUUGCCCCGCAAGCGAAAGGUCAGGGUUCAAAACACGGUCGCUAUUUGAAGCCCUUCACCGAUCUUGGUGACGUCUCCAUACUAUGACUGGAAAAUUCUCGAGAAGGACGUUAAACAAGAUACAGUCAAUCAAUGAAUAUAAGCAUGCCCAAGUGCUUACAUAAACAUAAUAACAUAAAAUCGUAUCUAAAUCACAAUUGUUAUACAAUAUAUAUUUAGAAUUCAUGAUCAUAGGUCUAAUACACAGACAAUCAUGCUAAACGGUGUUUAUUUUCAUGGUCCAGAGGCGUGCUCCAAUACGAAACUUGGAUUACUGAGAUUUUUUUUUCAUGAUUUUUGUGGAAACAACGUCAUAAUUACAGGUGAAUGUGACACCAUUGAUAGAAGAUUUCCCGGACAUAUGCCUAUAUUUAGAAUAACUAAAUGGCCAAGAGUAACAAUAAUAAUAAUUAUAGUAAUGUCAAGUUUAUUGACUGAAUUUAAAUAUCAUGUGAAUGUGGGGCCGAUUUUCGCCCUUAGAGCCCCUAGCUCAAGCAAUGUCCUUAGAUGUGUAAAGCGUUUUAGUUAUAUCUAUAGUACAUGCAUAUUUCAUUGUGCUAAUUUAUAUAUUUUGUUUUCACUAUUAUAUUUGUAACACUGUGUUAAAUGUGUCAUUGCAACAUUGUGAAGUGUGGCAGUAGUAGUUCAUCUGAUAUAAUGUAAUGCUGUAAUGAUUAUUGGUAUACAUGCAUAUUGUUUAAGAAUGUACAUUCCUCUCCCGGGGCCCUUAAUGACACACACUUAAAAUGGCGUUAUCUCCCCCUCUAUCCAAGCUAUACUUCUAUGUACUGCUGUCCUUGCCUCUUUAUAAUUAGCGUAAGUAAUCAUUUUCUCAGACAUUCAAUCACAUCAUUUUUACAUAUACAAUUGUACCCUUGGGAACUUAAAAUCUAAUAAUAUUUUACGUUUGUGAAUCUAUAAAUAUAGCAUCAUCCUGCAGUUGUUGUGCCUAUCAGUUCUACACAGAUUGAUAACGUAGAUUAAUCACAGUGGGCUAGCCGGUGGCUGUGUUAAUGUGCCUGAUAUUUCAGGUCAAAUGUUGAAAUUAAAUCUCAGAUUCUGAACAUCUUACCUGUUGCUAUGUAAACAGGCUAAUAUGUGAUUUCUUAGUUCCUAAAAAAAAUGUUACUAUGUAAGAACAUGUAUCAUGAUUGUUUUUGCUGUAGUCACAGAUCAUUCAUAUUAAUUAUUGUAAAAAUACAUAAUUAUAUUAAAUCUUUAAUUGAUAAAAAAAAAAGCAUCAGAUAUAGUAUAAACACAUUGACAAAAGUAAUAGUUCUUGUUUUAGAAUUAAACAAGUGUCGGAAUCUGUAAAAGCUGUACAUUACUGUGUCAAAAGAAAUAUGACACAUGUAGAGUAUGUAUGUGGAAUGAUCAGUUCUGAGGUACAUGUAACUUGUGUACGAUUUAUACCAUGAAACCAAAUAGAACUGUGUUUUCAAAACUGUUUUAUAAUUGCAUUAUUGCAGGAAUUAGUAACCUAAAUAUAUAUGUUCUAAGAUCCUUCAUGAUGGAUACGUACAUACAUGUAUCUAUAAUAUGCAACCUGUAGGAAUAUUGCGCCCAGAUUACAAUAGACAAUCUGUAACCGACGUAAUUUUUCACUAUGGCUAACUUAGAACAAAUGAUCACGUGUCAUAUACACAUUUGCAUAGCAUGCUAUCCAAAUAUAGAAAUAAAAUUCAAGAUGCUGUCUGUAGAACACCAUUAUGUAACGAACAAACGUAUAACAAAAUGUAAGAUGAUAUUAAAGUUAUUAGGUCACAUGUUGGGUACAUACAUAUAUUACAUAAUGUAAAACUUAUACGGUACCAAUUUUGAUGCACCAGAUGCGCAUUUCGACAAAUUAUGUCUCUUCAGUGAUGCUCAACCGAAAUGUUUGAAAUCAUUUAAGACAUUUCUGUACAAAAACCACCAUGUUCUUUAAAUAUAUCCUUGGAGUUCGCUUCUUAACAAACAGUUGUUAAAACGGUAGUAUUAAAGAUGCCUCUUAACAAACAGUUGUUAAGAUACAUCCCUUAACAAACGAUUGUUAGGAUAUGACCCUUAACAAACAAUUAUAAUUUUUGGCACAGAAACAUUAGGUUGUGCAAAUGAGUUGCUAAGACUUCCUUAACAAUCAACUGUUAAGACCUUCCUAUACAAAGAUAAUGUGUUCAUUGUAAUGUUUUUGAGUUUUCUUAACAAACAGUUAAAAUUAGCUUCUUAAGGGUGUACUCUCGUGGUACUUUUACCGCGAGUGAGUUUCCAUAGUUUUUAAAGUCGUAACUAUGGGGGUGCGUGUGUUUUAUUUCGUUUGCACAAAAAAAGAACAUUAAUAUCUGUUUUUAUUUGUAAGUAAUGUUAAUAAACUAACAAAAAUUAAUUAAAAUAUGACUUUUUUUUUACUUAUUUUUUAUAUUGUACUACAUUCAUGAUGACGUUACGAUUGUGCACAAACUCGAGCUCAAAGAGAAGUCCAGAAACAUACAUGGGUGAUUCGUUAGAAGUAAAACGGCAGUUAUAGAUCAGUCUGCAUGCGAUAUUCUCACAAGUGAGUGGCAGACAGAGAAAAUUACAGACAAGCAGGCACAACCACGCACAUGGUGACACAUGGUGACACACUACAGACUGUACAUAGUGUCAGACGAGAGGGGAAAAUGGAAGGAUGUUAGCGAUGUAGUACCCGAAUCAGAGGCUGCUGAUAUAGUAUUGAAUGAAUUUUUACAUCCAUUUGGUAAUCACAGUUAGAGGGAUGAGUUGUGCUAUCAUCAUAUGAAGAACCAUACCAGGAAGUGCAGAUUUCUUCCUCAUGGUCACAUGGAAAAUGACUGUUAAAACUAGUUUCCGGAUAAUAACUCAAGUACUUUACAUUCUAUUUAAACCAAAUUUGGACAUAUGGAUACAUACAAAGACGGAAAGAUGCCUAUCAAUUUUGGGGUCAGAAGGUCAAAGAUCAAGGUCACAGCGCAUGGAAAUUAGAAACUGUUGAUGCGGGAGCAUAGGUUUUACACAUUCUUUAUUUAUAAAUAAAUUAGUAUUAUAUAUAUGCAUAUAUUUAUGUUUUCUGGUUAUUUAUCAUAUAAUGAAAUAAAUAUAUAGAAUUUGUAAAUAUUAAUUGAAAAAUACACAUUUUAUAACAAAUAGUAUAUUAUCAUUGUUUAGAAUGUAUGUCAGUGUAAGAGGGGGGGGGGGGCACAAAAUGGUUCUAAUCUGUGUUCCAAUGCAAACUACCCCACACAUUUUUUUUCAUUCAAAUUAAGCAAAAAUAUGAUUCAAAUCUACAGUAGUACUUUCAGAAAAAGUUUGAUACAGAUAUUCUCCCUAGGUUGAAUUUUUUUGAUGAAAUUGGUCUUCACAUGUGUGUGAUAUUUUAUAAAAUAAUGUUACUUUAUACUUGAUUUUUGCAGAAUUGGUGAUAUGUUUUAUAUAAAAGUUAUUGAAAUAAUCAAUUAUGCUUAAUUUUCAUAAAAUAAAAGAAAUCCAUGAUUA